AACGAACGCUGGCGGCAUGCCUAACACAUGCAAGUCGAACGAGACCUUCGGGUCUAGUGGCGCACGGGUGCGUAACGCGUGGGAACCUGCCCUUAGGUUCGGAAUAACUCCCCGAAAGGGGUGCUAAUACCGGAUAAUGUCUUCGGACCAAAGAUUUAUCGCCUUUGGAUGGGCCCGCGUUGGAUUAGCUAGUUGGUAGGGUAAAAGCCUACCAAGGCGACGAUCCAUAGCUGGUCUGAGAGGAUGAUCAGCGACACUGGGACGGAGACACGGCCCAGACUCCUACGGAAGGCAGCAGUGGGGAAUAUAGGACAAUGGGCGAAAGCCUGAUCCAGCAAUGCCGCGUGAGUGAUGAAGGCCUUAGGGUUGUAAUGCUCUUUUACCCGGGAUGAUAAUGACAGUACCGGGAGAAUAAGCUCCGGCUAACUCCGUG
rnacentral:rRNA from 1 species